rnacentral:tRNA from 1 species
GGGUGCAUUUUGCUGAGCAAUUCUGUAAGUGUUGCAACCACGGGAGCUGGAGCGGUACCUUGACACGGUAAGGAGUCGGCGGUUCAAAUCCGCCCGCGCCUACCA